rnacentral:rRNA from 1 species
GCAUGGCCUACCAUGCAAGUCGAGCGGAUGAGAGGAGCUUGCUCCUGGAUUCAGCGGCGGACGGGUGAGUAAUGCCUAGGAAUCUGCCUGGUAGUGGGGGACAACGUUUCGAAAGGAACGCUAAUACCGCAUACGUCCUACGGGAGAAAGCAGGGGACCUUCGGGCCUUGCGCUAUCAGAUGAGCCUAGGUCGGAUUAGCUAGUUGGUGAGGUAAUGGCUCACCAAGGCGACGAUCCGUAACUGGUCUGAGAGGAUGAUCAGUCACACUGGAACUGAGACACGGUCCAGACUCCUACGGGAGGCAGCAGUGGGGAAUAUUGGACAAUGGGCGAAAGCCUGAUCCAGCCAUGCCGCGUGUGUGAAGAAGGUCUUCGGAUUGUAAAGCACUUUAAGUUGGGAGGAAGGGUUGUAGAUUAAUACUCUGCAAUUUUGACGUUACCGACAGAAUAAGCACCGGCUAACUCUGUGCCAGCAGCCGCGGUAAUACAGAGGGUGCAAGCGUUAAUCGGAAUUACUGGGCGUAAAGCGCGCGUAGGUGGUUUGUUAAGUUGGAUGUGAAAUCCCCGGGCUCAACCUGGGAACUGCAUCCAAAACUGGCAAGCUAGAGUAUGGUAGAGGGUGGUGGAAUUUCCUGUGUAGCGGUGAAAUGCGUAGAUAUAGGAAGGAACACCAGUGGCGAAGGCGACCACCUGGACUGAUACUGACACUGAGGUGCGAAAGCGUGGGGAGCAAACAGGAUUAGAUACCCUGGUAGUCCACGCCGUAAACGAUGUCAACUAGCCGUUGGGAGCCUUGAGCUCUAGUGGCGCAGCUACGCAUUAAGUUGACCGCUGGGGAGUACGCCGCAAGGUUAAAACUCAAUGAAUUGACGGGGGCCCGCACAAGCGGUGGAGCAUGUGGUUUAAUUAGAAGCAACGCGAAGAACCUUACCAGGCCUUGACAUCCAAUGAACUUUCCAGAGAUGGAUUGGUGCCUUUCGGGAACAUUGAGACAGGUUUUUUUAAUGGCCGUUUUUCAGCUCGUGUCGUGAGAUGUUGGGUUAAGUCCCGUAACGAGCGCAACCCUUGUCCUUAGUUACCAGCACGUAAUGGUGGGCACUCUAAGGAGACUGCCGGUGACAAACCGGAGGAAGGUGGGGAUGACGUCAAGUCAUCAUGGCCCUUACGGCCUGGGCUACACACGUGCUACAAUGGUCGGUACAAAGGGUUGCCAAGCCGCGAGGUGGAGCUAAUCCCAUAAAACCGAUCGUAGUCCGGAUCGCAGUCUGCAACUCGACUGCGUGAAGUCGGAAUCGCUAGUAAUCGCGAAUCAGAAUGUCGCGGUGAAUACGUUCCCGGGCCUUGUACACACCGCCCGUCACACCAUGGGAGUGGGUUGCACCAGAAGUAGCUAGUCUAACCUUCGGGAGGACGGUACCACGGA